rnacentral:misc_RNA from 1 species
GAUGAAGAACGUAGUGAAAUGCGAUAAGUAAUGCGAAUUGCAGAAUUCAGUGAAUCAUCGAAUCUUUGAACGCACAUUGCGCCCGCCAGUAUUCUGGCGGGCAUGCCUGUCUGAGCGUCGUUUCGACCCUCGCGCCCGGCUUCUGUCGGGGGCGGUGUUGGGGAUCGGCCACACCCUUCAGUGGGAGGCCGGCCCCUAAAUUCAGUGGCGACCACGCUGUAGCCUCCCCUGCGUAGUACUAAAACCACCUCGCAGGCGGAGAGCGGUGCGGCCCGCCGUAAAACCCCCCAACUUUUACAAGGUCGACCUCAGAUCAGGUAGGAAUACCCGCUGAACUUAAGCAUAUCAAUAAGCGGGGA